CAUUAAAAUUAUUCCCGGAGUUGAAAUCAGUACAAUGUUCACCCAAGGGAGGGACUCUGCAUUAGAUGAACCAGUGCACAUUCUUGCAUACUACAGCAGUUGUGGACCAGCAAAAUUUGAUCAAGUGGACAAGUUCCUGAGUAGUAUAAGGGAUGGGCGUUUCCUCCGUGCGGAGAACAUGAUCUUAAAACUUAAUAAAUUGAAGUUGCCACUUAAGUGGGAGCAGGUAGCAAAAAUUGCAGGAAAGGGAGUUGCUCCAGGG
rnacentral:misc_RNA from 1 species